CAGUCAAGGUAAAAACGCCACCCUGGAUGGCAUUUUUGCCUUGACUGAAUAUUAAAAAAAAAAAUGCAUAGGAUAAAAACGUCAGUCUAGUUGACGUUUUACCCUGAAAGCUUAGUUUGGUAAAUAAUCUUGCCACACGUAUACUUUGGGAAAUUGUUUCCCUUAGGGACUUACUUUGGUAAAUUUUCCCGUUAAAAAGACCACUUCUUUCCUCUUUACACUACUCCCUCACUCUCUCACUCUCUCUCCCUCGCCGGAAAAUGGCGAAAUCGAACGACCCAACAUCACCUCCGCCGCCAACUCCGCCGCCGGCAAUAGGCAAGAUCGGACCAUAGACCGUCUUUCUGACUCCUCCUCCGACCCCUAAACCCACUUCCGAAGCUCCUCCCGCCGUCAUUUCACAACCCCACAAAAAUAUCGCCGUCAAUUCUCCGCCGCCGGUUCAGCCGCCACCGGCCAAGUUCGAACCUGCCGGUGACCGCUUCGCUUUCUUCUGGGAAGCCAUUGCUAAAGCUCAAAACGUUCAUGCGAGUGUAGAUGAGUACGUGGCGAAUUGGUUGGGAUUGGAUCAAUCGAGAUAUCAAUGGGCAUUGAAUGAUUAUUAUGAAUCUAAAGGAAUGGUAUGUUUUUUUUUUUCUUCUUUGAUUUAAUUUUUUGAGAUUUUUAUGCAAUAUCCUGAUGUUUUAUUUCAAUGUUCAUAGAAAUUUUCAUGCAUGUGUUAGAAAUUGUAGUGAAAUCGCGGCGUUAUUGUGUUUUGAAGGAAAAUGAACUUGGUUGUAAUCAAUUGUCCCAGAAUUGCCCAUUUCUUAGCUUUACUUGUAGAUUUAAUCUUGUAGUAUGAAUGUAUGAUUUGUUGUGGGUUUAGAAUGUGUCACACAGAAGUAAAGUGAUUCCUCUUUGUGGAUUUGAGUAAAUUGGAUAUGUUUUCGAUUGAUAGUUGCUAUUUCUUUGGGGGUGUUCUGGAUCUUUGCCUGAUUUAUAGUCCUUAACUGGGUAUUUUGUGUGGAAUCAGAAAUGGACUCGGGUAUAGGUGUGAUACAGACACAUAAAUAAAACAGUGAAAUUUAAAAAGAUUUUACUAUAUAGUAUAUGCAAUGGUCUUUGUUCGAGUAUGAAUGAGGUGCACAAUAUCUUCUACAAGUGUCCAUAGAGGAAAAAUUGCGUGAGGUUCGUGGUGUGCCAUGAAAUGGCCAUGUCCUGUCUCUUUGCCUAUAGAAAAUUGCCGUCUCAUUAAAACUAUGUCAAAUAUCAAAGGGCUGUUAUGCAUAAAGGCAUUGCAUUUAGUUGGAUCUUUACAAGGUCUUCUUUGUUGCUGCUGAUUGUGACAGGUUCUCUUUGUGACUUAUUUGAGCUUUAGCAGGUUUUGCAGAGAAAGUAUAGCUUCCAAGAUAACCAUUAGAAAGACUGGUGUUUGUACUUCAUCCAUUAUAGGAAAUUUGGAAUUUGUAUCUUGUACAGUUGUACGUAGUCUUUUUUUGGUUUACCUUGUUGAGAAUUGAUAUUUAUUUCAAGCCCGAUAGCUUGGUAUUGGUGUUAUCUAUAUAGAGGUAUAUUAUUUGUGCAAAGAAUACACCUAGGGAUUGUCAUAAUUUCACCCACCUUGAAACUAAGAAAUGUUGACCUUAAAGGGAGUUAAUAUCCUGCGUGCACAAAUCCAUAUACUCAAAUCCCUGGUUCUUUAGUCAAAGCCUUUUUUUGUUAGGUAUAGGUAGCCUUGGGAACUUCAAGUCCGUUCAAAGCUGAGAAGGUGACUAGUGACCAAUGUCCAUGAGACUUGAUUCCUUGUGUAAAACAUAUCUUAUAUGAUUGUGGAAGUAAUUUACUUAUUGUGUGUGUGUUUGUUGGGGGUAGGGAGGGGGGUAUGGCACACCUGCACUUACAUAUUUACUCUAUCAAGUAGUUGAAAUGUUGAAUAACAAAUUGUUUCCAAGGGGACAUUUCUUUCUAGACUGAUGAGAUUAAAAUCAUUGUUGAGGACUUCUACAUUUUCCUCCUAUACUGUUUCUGCUACUAAAGUAUGAUAAGGAUAUUAUUGUCUUGGGAAUAAGCUCUUUAAUUCAAUAAGUGUUGGUGGCUUCAAUUGACCUGUAGAAUGCAGGAUAGAUUAGUCUUAGGCUAACUUGAUAAUGAGGAACAGAUGUUGGACUCAAUUAAUAUAGUUUAUCUCAAUGCCCAACUUGACUUGCCUUUUUAGCUGUUAACAACUGCUUCAAGCCUUGAAGGGCUCGCUGUCAUUAUGUUAAUAAAAAAAAUGUGGCUUGGGGGUAUGUUAACGAAUUGGUUCACGACAGAAACGAGACUUCAUAAAUUUAGGGACUUGAGAAUGGAACAAAGGGCAGGGAGACUCGUCCGUCUCCCAAAGAGAGAUGCGGCGGUGGUGAAGAGACAAUUAUCUCACUUGCAAACAUAUCUGGGUGGGAUCAAAUAUAUGACAGGAUUACCGGAUAUUGUAAUUGUCGUCGAUCAACACGAAGAAUAUACAACCCUUCGAGAAUGUAUUACUUUUGGAAUUCCAACGAUUUGUUUAAUCGAUACAAAUUGUGACCCGGAUCUCGCUGAUAUUCGGAUUCCUGCAAACGAUGGCGCUAUAGCUUGAAUGCGAUUCAUUCUUACCAAAAAAGGCUGAGCUUAGGUGCUAAAUAAGUAAGAUAAGAAGAGUAGCUUUCACCUACCUGGAGAGUUAACUGCCAAGAAGGAAGAACUCAUUUUUUUCUUCUUCACCGCUAACUAUUCGUUCAGAGUCGGCAAGAGUUGAAAUAAUCCCAGGAGAGUUUUCAAGUAGUCAAGGAAGAAAGACAGUCCGAAAUCGCAUCGGGUAAGGGCUCAUGGGGUGGGCUCUAGAUACAUGAUGUUAUGUUUGAGGCCCAGUUAAGGCUCAUUCUAGUCAAUAAUCCGGAUGUUUUGCCACUUUUUAUGUCAUUGGUUUGCAGAGUUUUUAUCAUGAAAACAAAUUUGGGAGGGAACGCACAGGCUGACUAUGAGAAAUUGUGGAUGAGGGAGAUGUUCUGACGAAAGAAGUUUCAAGCAAGAGACCAACUGUUUAAACUUGUGAUGUAUUUCAGGAAUCAUAUAUAGAAUGCGGGUUUGUACACCCUUUCAAUUGUAAUAUAUACUUGGUACAGAUGGUAUUGGUUGAAUCUGACGGAGUCGUGUCUAAAAUGAAGGUUUACGGCUUUAUCCUGCAUAAUAUCUCAUGUAAAUGCAGGGAGUGGUGAUUCCUCAAGUGAUAAAUCUGCCUGUAUCAGUCUUUGGUCACCAUGUAUUCUUUUUGUAUCUUUUAGAUUUGCUGUAAUCAUCAUGUUCUCUCCAAGUUAUUGCUUACAUUCAUAUUAUCAUCUAAAUAUGUAACUGUUUCUUGGUUA